rnacentral:rRNA from 1 species
GAUGAACGCUGGCGGCGUGCCUAAUACAUGCAAGUCGAGCGAACAGACGAGGAGCUUGCUCCUCUGACGUUAGCGGCGGACGGGUGAGUAACACGUGGAUAACCUACCUAUAAGACUGGGAUAACUUCGGGAAACCGGAGCUAAUACCGGAUAAUAUAUUGAACCGCAUGGUUCAAUAGUGAAAGACGGUUUUGCUGUCACUUAUAGAUUGAUCCGCGCCGCAUUAGCUAGUUGGUAAGGUAACGGCUUACCAAGGCAACGAUGCGUAGCCGACCUGAGAGAGUGAUCGGCCACCCUGGAACUGAGACGCGGUCCAGACUCCUACGGGAGGCAGCAGUAGGGAAUCUUCCGCAAUGGGCGAAAGCCUGACGGAGCAACGCCGCGUGAGUGAUGAAGGUCUUCGGAUCGUAAAACUCUGUUAUUAGGGAAGAACAAAUGUGUAAGUAACUAUGCACGUCUUGACGGUACCUAAUCAGAAAGCCACGGCUAACUACGUG